rnacentral:rRNA from 1 species
UAAAACUGGCAUGCUUGAGCGCAGGGAGAGGGAAGUGGAAUUUCUGGUGUAGCGGUGAAAUGCGUAGAUAUCAGGAGGAACACCAGUGGCGAAGGCGGCUUCCUGGCCUGUUACUGACGCUGAGGCGCGAAAGCGUGGGGAGCAAACAGGAUUAGAUACCCUGGUAGUCCACGCUGUAAACGAUGAGUGCUAGGUGUUGGUGGUAUCGAAUCCAUCAGUGCCGUAGCUAACGCGAUAAGCACUCCGCCUGGGGAGUACGGUCGCAAGACUGAAGCUCAAAGGAAUUGACGGGGGCCCGCACAAGCGGUGGAGCAUGUGGUUUAAUUCGACGCAACGCGAAGAACCUUACCAGGGCUUGACAUCUACCUGACCGGUCUGGAAACAGGUUUUUCCCUUUUGGGACAGGUAGACAGGUGGUGCAUGGUUGUCGUC